rnacentral:tRNA from 2 species
GGCCUAUUAGCUCAGUUGGUUAGAGCGUCGUGCUAAUAACGCGAAGGUCGCAGGUUCGAGACUAGCAUGGGCCA